rnacentral:rRNA from 1 species
UGGGGAAUUUUGCACAAUGGGGGAAACCCUGAUGCAGCGACGCCGCGUGAUUUAGAAGGCCUUCGGGUUGUAAAAAUCUUUUCUAUGGGAAGAAAAUGACAGUACCAUAGGAAUAAGGACCAGCUAAUUACGUGCCAGCAGCCGCGGUAAUACGUAAGGUCCGAGCGUUGUCCGGAAUCAUUGGGCGUAAAGGGUACGUAGGCGGGUAAGCAAGUUAGAAGUGAAAUCCUAUAGCUCAACUAUAGUAAGCUUUUAAAACUGCUCAUCUUGAGGUAUGGAAGGGAAAGUGGAAUUCCUAGUGUAGCGGUGAAAUGCGCAGAUAUUAGGAGGAAUACCGGUGGCGAAGGCGACUUUCUGGCCAUAACCUGACGCUGAGGUACGAAAGCGUGGGUAGCAAACAGG